rnacentral:rRNA from 1 species
UAUUAUCCACGGCGUGGACCACGAGGCUGCCACCUAUCAACUUUUGACGGUAGGGUAUUGGCCUACGGUGGUUGCAACGGGUACGGGGAAUCAGGGUUCGAUUCCGGAGAGUAGGCCUGAGAAACGGCCGCCAUUGCUACGGCACCCAGCAGGCGCGCAAAUUUGUCAAUAUUCGAACGAAUGAACAAGUAAGAACGUAUGGUCGGGUGGGACGAAUUUCGUUACCGCCACGUCGAUGAGACUAGUCAAAAACCUAGUCGAUCACCGCUGGAGGGCAAGUCUGGUGCCAGCAGCCGCGGUAAUUCCAGCUCCGGGAGUUCACGGGACUAUUGCUGAGACUAGAACGUCUGUAGUCGGAAGUAACACCGCGGCUUCGCCUCCUCUCGGAUCGAGACGGUAGCGCGUCGGGGCGGCACGACCCGGCUUUCGCGUUCAGGCGCGGGAGUUCGCGGUCCGCAUCCUUGACCUAAACCAAACGAUCAAAGUGAGCUCGUGCUCGAUGGUUUUGCAUGGAAUCGUGGAACGGGGCCGACUCUGGACGCUUUGCCAGGGUUGGCGACGAUCAACGGGAGCGAUCGGGGGUGAGGGAACUGCAGGGCGAGGGGUAAAAUCUGAUGAGCCUUUCAAGACCACCCGAA